CACCCUGCGACUGCUGAAGCAAAAGCUGCCUGGGCAGUCUGGCAGCUGCAAAUCUACUCUUCAUGAAAUGUUGGACUUGCAGCUACACAGAGCACUGUGAGGUUUUUAAUAAAAGAUUGACUUGGUAAAUUCUAUUUCCAUUCUGACUCCAAUAAAUAAUCCAGGUCCUUUAUGCAGAAUGAGAAGAGGAAGUACACUGAUUUGCAUUGACUUCCCAGGGGGGUUCUACAGGCAACGGGAUUUUUUUCACAUCUCUGAGGGUAGAACAAGAUCUCACUGAGAAUGGAAUGUCUAAGGAAUUACUGCCUGGUAAUCAUAUGACGGAUCUCUCAUGCACAUAAGGCGCUUGUUUUCUCCUGUGCAACAGCUGUAAACAAAGGACUACAUGCUCAAGAGAAGAAAACAAAAAUGGAAGAGUCAAAACAAACUAAACAAGCUUAAUUUGUUUGAACAUAUUUUGUGCCCUUCAUCAUCCCCCGUGGUUUCCUGUUGUGAAAUGAUGCAUUUUGUUUUCAAAAUUACAAACUUGAGAUUCAAAAGAAGGCAUUUCUUACUAUGAGGUCACAUUCCAAGCAUAUUAUCCUAUGUCUAUGUCUUAUGUGUGGCUUUUGCCAGAAGAAAGACCCACUUUGUGUGCUUUUCUAUUUUAGGGCCCUGUGAUGGCUGAGCCAUCUCGAGAUUCUUUUCAGAGAGUUUGCUACUUGCCGAAAUGCAGUGAAAUAUGCUGCCAAUCAGCCAGUCAUUCUGUCUAUAGAAUACAAGUUAAAUUUUGUGACUUAUAAUUUUCCCACGAGUUUGGCUUUUGAGCUUAAAAGUGUCGACUAUUUAGGAUCUCUUAAAGGAUCAUUGUUUUAUUUAGGACACAGAGGGUUUCUUGAAAUGGGAAGAAAUAGGCAAUAGCUGUUCAACUCAGGAAAGUCAUCUUCCAAAAGAAGAAGGAGCACAGAUUGAGAUCUCCUUUCAUAAUUAUAACAGCAGCCUUAGCUAAUAGUUAUGAGUACUUAUGAGGUGCCAAGGAUGAUUCUAAGAACUUUGCAUUUAUUAAUUAGUACUUGUAAAACAAAUCUGCAUUUUUCAUUAUCCGACCUAAAAAUAUGGAUUUCAAUUCCACUUUUUAUCAAGGAUUAAUAAGACUAAACUUUCUCCUUGAAACAAGUUCGAUGAAUGAGUAAUGACUACAUAGUCUUCUAUUUUUACAUUUCAUGUAGAACAUAAGUAAUUGUUGUCACUUAUGAGAUGUAGAGUUUUUUAAUUUUACAUAAAAUAAACAGUUAUGAAUCAUUUUCAAUUAGGAGUGUUGUAAAAACUCCCUUUAAAACUCAGAGAAUAGUGCAGAGAAAGACAGUUGCCCAUAAUUCUCUGGUUUUAAGCAUUGGCUUUGGUGUAGUAAAGCUGGGUUCAGGCCCCAGUUCUGUUACAUUGUGUGACCGUCAGCAAAUAAUUAGCCUCUUUAAGCCUCCGUUCUGGAUCUGCAAAAUGAAUAAAAUAGCACCAACUACUGAGCCUUCCUCUGAGCUGUAAGUCAGUUUUAAAGUAUGAGCAGAAGGUGGAACAUUCUAGAUGCUCAAUAAAGCUACUUUCCUUAUUGUUAUUGAAAUAUGAACACAGUGGCAUUUUCGGUUUUACCUUUAUCUAUGUCACGGGGUACAUAUAACUUGGAAUCCUAAUGUUUUCUUCGUGUUCUGUAUUUCCAAACCAAAGUUUUCAAAUUUCUGAAAGUGACUAUUUUACAUUUUGAACUACAAAGAUAAGACCACUCACCUCAGAUUCUCUUUUGGGCGCUGGAAUACUAGUUUGAAAGUUGUCUUCCUUGGAGCAUCUUGGUUCUUUCCAGGCAGUUGGGGGCAGGUGGUUGGACAUCAUCGAUGCAGGUUUUGGGUUUGGGUGUUCCCUGCAAGGGUUCUAUUUCUUUUAAUUUUACCUUUGGUGACAUGAGUUAGUAUCCCAAGUCCCACUAAGCAUUAUUGCAUUUCUUUGCAACAAAAUAGUCUAGUAGAAGAAGGACAGGCUGUAAAGUCAGCAAAACCUGGGUUGGCACUGUGGUUUGCUUGCUUCCAGGUCAAUGGACUUGGGGGAACCACCUGCUUUCUCAGUGUGUCAGUUUCCUCAUCUACAGAAUGAAGUUACUAAAACUCACAUUUUAGGGCUGGUGUAAGAAUGGCAGGAAGCAAUUAUAUAAAGUUCUUGGCAUUCCUUCACUGUACACCAAAAUCACAAUUAUUUACAAAGUCUUUUUGUUAUAGUUAUACAUGCAUAUAAAUGUAUACAUACAUAUAUAAACACACAUGUAUUUGUAAAUAUAAAACAGAAACAAGAGACAACAUUACUUUUCAAGGCACUGGAUGCAUGGCUUUUCAGGCUCAAAAACAUAAAGAGACACGACCUAUGAAAGAAUGACUUUGCUAAAUGAAAUUUUCUGUGGAUCAAACUGAACGAUAUUGAUUCAGUCAAGCAUGGCAGAGCCCCCUGAAAUAAUGAACCUUUCAAAGUUACACAUUUAUUCAAAACUUAUAUUUAAUUGGAAACAUAAAACAUCCAAAAAGCUCUAAGUAACUUGUCCCUCUCUAUUAGCUGUGUGUAUCUAUCGAUUAUCAGACUUUAUCAGUUCUGUUCCAAAGGCGCAUCUUGGUGGUCUCUGAAUAAGAGGUAUAUUUUCUUUAUAGUAUCAAUGUCUAGUUAAAGUUCAAUUGCUUGUUAGUUCCAUUUGUACAACAGAUGGUAAUUAUUUCAGAUAAUACAAUGCUGCGUAUGUAAGAUUAACAAGCUUGAAGUUCCAAGUUGAAAGUAAGAAAUUUGAUUCGUUUGUCAAAAGGCAUAAGCUCUUUGAGUUUAUAUGAGAGUGAGUAUCAUGAAAUACAGUGGUUUUCAAUGGGGAAUUGCCAUCCCUGGGACAUGUAGGAUAUGUGUGGGGUCAUUGCUGGUUGUCACAAUGAUUAGAGGGUACUGGUAGCAUUGAGUGAGCAGAAGCCAGAGACUUAGUUAUCACUACAUGGUGUGGUUCAGUCCUGCCCCAAAAGGAACUGCCUGUGUAUCACACGACUUCUGGUAGCCUUGCUGGAAAUUCACAUAGAUAGACAUCUGUUCAUCUGAACCUAGAGGCUAGCUCAGGUAACAUGUGAACAAAAGCCUAUUGUUGUUUUCUCUUAUGUUUUUUAACUCAGUUUUAAUCUACAUUGAACAUUCUAGGAAUACAACUGCCGCAUAAGUUGAGAUAUGAUGUCACUUUGCUUCUCUUGGAAAAUUACCAUAACUUGUUCACCAUUUUAGAAAAUCACACCCCUUUGACCGCAGUACUACCCUUCAUCAUUCAGUCAUGAGUACAGACCGUCUGUAUCAUUUACAUUUGAAGCUGUGGCAUUCAGGGCACUUCAGCUGUAAGCAUCUGACUUCUUUGUAACGUCUUCUAAUAUUGUUGUGUCCGAGUAUUUAUAUAAUAAAAUGCGU